UCUCAAAAACAUAUUAUAUAAUUACUACUAAUACUUUGUAAUUUCAUCGGCAAAGAAAAUGGCUCAAGCAAACGCCAAGUCUCAAGAUGUUAGAACAAUACGGACCUUAUGGCUCUCAAUUACCGGAAAAUUAUCGCAUGCAACUUGAAGAUGGUGAAUUUAUCAAAGAACUAAAAGUGGGGCAUGGAUACAUUGUGGACGCACUUGAAGUCUUGGUAGCUACGCCAGAUGGGUCGACCGAUAUUUACCACUUCGGCGGCGACCAAGGAGAUGAGAACAAGGUAAUUAUACUUUGACUUUUGACACUAUUCAUAAAUUUCAACUUAACUAUCAUUUGUAAUUUAUGGGCAAGAAACAUAUAUUCGUGUCGAGUCUUGUUUGAUUCGUCUCGAUAAGUACUUUCGGAAUAUCAACUUUUUAUAAUUUUUAUGAAUACAAAAUUAGAGAUAUUAAUGUCUAAACAUUUACAUUGACAAGCUUGAAAAGGUAAACUGUCCCCAUUAUUUUACAACAAAGGGAGUACUUCCUCCGUUUCUGAAAGUUCUUUAAGCUUUGGAUUACGUGUCCAAAAUAUGAAAACUUUGACCGUAAAUUCUCACUAUUAUAUACAUCAAAACGUUACAUGUAAGAUCUUGUUAGAUUGGUCUCGGUAUGUAUUUUCAAAAUAUCAACUUUUUUUAAUUUUUUCAUAUACAAAAUUGGAUAUAUUACUCCCUCCGUCUCUUUUUGUUUUUUACGUUUUCCUUUUUUGGUGUUUCAAAAUGUUCUUUACAUUUCCUUUUAUAUUAUCACAUAAAUGAUUUAAUAUUCUAUCAAAAUUUGUACCCAAUUAUUAUAUUAACCAAUUAAAUCAAUUGAGUCAUUUAAUCUCUCAUACUUUUCCAUAAGACAUUAACUAUUUCUCAUUUUCCCAUAUCAGAAUUUUGAUAAGAGUGAAAACAUUAUAAAUAAACGUAAUUUUCCUCGUUUACAUGAAAAAACUUAGAAGAAUCUCAAUGCAUAUUAAUUAGUCGUUAAAACGCGUGUAAAAUACCAAACGUAAAAAACAAAAAGAGACGGAGGGAGUAGUACGUAGUUAAAUAUUGCAUUGGAGUCCGUGCAAAUAGUAACUGUAAAGAACUUUCUGAAACAGACGUAAUAUAUCUUUAUAUCUUUUUCGUCGUACUCUCGUUCUAUACUUCUAAAAAACAAGUCCGGCCUCUAACUUAUAUUUAUUGCCACAUUUUAAUUUUACAUGCAUAUUUAAAGAUUGUAUUGAAGGAUAACGAAUACGUUACCAGAAUUAGUGGGAGUUAUGGAAACUAUGCACACCAACACAACGAUGUGCUUAUUGGAACACUAAACAUACACACUAAUCUGAAGAGACAUGCUACAUCGCUGGUGGACAGCGACAUAAAGAGUCCAUACCUAGGGUAAAUGGUAUUUUCGUUACAUGAGUUGAAAAGUCAAACAAAUUACUAAAUAUCGGUAAUAUGACAGUAAUUGAUACAACAAUGACAGUAUUUAAAUACAACAAUGACAGUAUUUAUGUAAACGAUGAUAAUACUUAUAUAACACUUGUAUACAUAUUUUUAUCUAUUCGUUUAAUAUGCAACACUUUUAUCCAUUCAUUUAAGUGAUCCCUUACUUUUUCUAUUUCAUUACACUUGUAUACAUAAUUUCCUUUAUUUUGAUGAUUGUGACAAUAUUUUAAUACAACAAUGACAGUAUAUAUAUAACAAUGACAAUACUUAUAUUACCGAUGACAGUAUAUAACAAGUUAGCAACACUAUUUAAGUGUGGGCCAUCUUUUCAACUUUUUUUUUUUAAGGGUGGGUAUGGAUUUUUUUUGUCGCUGGUGGACAGCGAUGUAGCCAACCUCCUAAUCUGAAUCCGAACGGAUACGGACCAUUUGGACAAGGCAGGGAUAUUACAAACGUGUCCACAUUUUCAUCACCGGACAAGAGUGAUGGCUACGUUGUUGUUGGAUUUUUCGGAAGGAGCAACAACUAUCUCGAGUCUGUUGGAGUAUCCAUCCAAAAGAUACAGGGAUAAAAAUGAAGAAAUGCAAUGUAUGGUGAUAAGGUGCUCCCAUCUUGAUUGUUGACACACCUCCAAUAUAAUUUACGUAUUUUCGAAUAAGCCACCUCUAUAUUUAUACUAUAUAUUAAAAAGCGUUUCUACAAACGUUUACAUGCCACGUGACGCUCUCCCUCAAUCCACAAAUCCAUGCCAUAUAUCCACUUUCAUUAUAUAGCAUAAGAUUUGAACCUGCAACGUCCACUUUCAACACUAGACCAUUAACCAAUUGAGCUACAAUCUUUUAGAUGUUAUCUAUGCAAAAUUAAAAUUAAUAUAAUAUAGAAAAAAUAUCAUCUAGAAAAAUUAUGUUUUGAAAAAACACAAACAAAAUUUCAUUAAAAAAAUAUGAUAAUUACUGUUAGUCACGGAAUAAUCCGGGACAUCGCCCGGACCUAAGGCCCUGUUCGGCAAAAGUAGCGGUAGCGGGUAGCGGUUCAGUAGCGGGUAGCGGUCAAUAGUAACGGGUAGCGGUCAAUAGUAGCGGGUAACGGUUAGCUGUCAAAGGUAGCGGGUAACUGAUAUGAGUGUUCGGUAAAAGUAGCGGUUGAUAUUAUAAAAUAAAAUAAAAGGUGAAAUAUUAUUUAAAACUUUAUUAUAAAUUUGUCAAACGCUACCCGCUACCUUAAACGCCUACUAAUUUCAACGUUUGACAAAAGCUACACAGCCGCUACCUCAACCGCUAACCGCUACCUAAAUUGCUACCUCGCCAAACACUUACAAAUUUUACAAGUAGCGUCUUGACUCGGUCAAAACGCUACCCGCUACCUCAAAAGCUACCGCCGAAUACGCCCAGUCACUUUAUUUAUUUAUUUAUUUUGACGGGUCACUUUAUUUAUUUUAUCAAGAGCAAGAAUGGGACACCAACACAACGAUGUGCUUAUUGGAACACUAAACAUACACACUAAUCUGAAGAGACAUGCUACAUCGCUGGUGGACAGCGACAUAAAGAGUCCAUACCUAGGGUAAAAUGGUAUUUUCGUUACAUGAGUUGAAAAGUCAAACAAAUUACUAAAUAUCGGUAAUAUGACAGUAAUUGAUACAACAAUGACAGUAUUUAAAUACAACAAUGACAGUAUUUAUGUAAACGAUGAUAAUACUUAUAUAACACUUGUAUACAUAUUUUUAUCUAUUCGUUUAAUAUGCAACACUUUUAUCCAUUCAUUUAAGUGAUCCCUUACUUUUUCUAUUUCAUUACACUUGUAUACAUAAUUUCCUUUAUUUUGAUGAUUGUGACAAUAUUUUAAUACAACAAUGACAGUAUAUAUAUAACAAUGACAAUACUUAUAUUACCGAUGACAGUAUAUAACAAGUUAGCAACACUAUUUAAGUGUGGGCCAUCUUUUCAACUUUUUUUUUUUAAGGGUGGGUAUGGAUUUUUUUUGUCGCUGGUGGACAGCGAUGUAGCCAACCUCCUAAUCUGAAUCCGAACGGAUACGGACCAUUUGGACAAGGCAGGGAUAUUACAAACGUGUCCACAUUUUCAUCACCGGACAAGAGUGAUGGCUACGUUGUUGUUGGAUUUUUCGGAAGGAGCAACAACUAUCUCGAGUCUGUUGGAGUAUCCAUCCAAAAGAUACAGGGAUAAAAAUGAAGAAAUGCAAUGUAUGGUGAUAAGGUGCUCCCAUCUUGAUUGUUGACACACCUCCAAUAUAAUUUACGUAUUUUCGAAUAAGCCACCUCUAUAUUUAUACUAUAUAUUAAAAAGCGUUUCUACAAACGUUUACAUGCCACGUGACGCUCUCCCUCAAUCCACAAAUCCAUGCCAUAUAUCCACUUUCAUUAUAUAGCAUAAGAUUUGAACCUGCAACGUCCACUUUCAACACUAGACCAUUAACCAAUUGAGCUACAAUCUUUUAGAUGUUAUCUAUGCAAAAUUAAAAUUAAUAUAAUAUAGAAAAAAUAUCAUCUAGAAAAAUUAUGUUUUGAAAAAACACAAACAAAAUUUCAUUAAAAAAAUAUGAUAAUUACUGUUAGUCACGGAAUAAUCCGGGACAUCGCCCGGACCUAAGGCCCUGUUCGGCAAAAGUAGCGGUAGCGGGUAGCGGUUCAGUAGCGGGUAGCGGUCAAUAGUAACGGGUAGCGGUCAAUAGUAGCGGGUAACGGUUAGCUGUCAAAGGUAGCGGGUAACUGAUAUGAGUGUUCGGUAAAAGUAGCGGUUGAUAUUAUAAAAUAAAAUAAAAGGUGAAAUAUUAUUUAAAACUUUAUUAUAAAUUUGUCAAACGCUACCCGCUACCUUAAACGCCUACUAAUUUCAACGUUUGACAAAAGCUACUCAACCGCUACCUCUACCGCUAACCGCUACCUAAAUUGCUACCUCGCCAAACACUUACAAAUUUUACAAGUAGCGUCUUGACUCGGUCAAAACGCUACCCGCUACCUCAAAAGCUACCGCCGAAUACGCCCAGUCACUUUAUUUAUUUAUUUAUUUUGACGGGUCACUUUAUUUAUUUUAUCAAGAGCAAGAAUGGGACACCAACACAACGAUGUGCUUAUUGGAACACUAAACAUACACACUAAUCUGAAGAGACAUGCUACAUCGCUGGUGGACAGCGACAUAAAGAGUCCAUACCUAGGGUAAAAUGGUAUUUUCGUUACAUGAGUUGAAAAGUCAAACAAAUUACUAAAUAUCGGUAAUAUGACAGUAAUUGAUACAACAAUGACAGUAUUUAAAUACAACAAUGACAGUAUUUAUGUAAACGAUGAUAAUACUUAUAUAACACUUGUAUACAUAUUUUUAUUUAUUCGUUUAAUAUGCAACACUUUUAUCCAUUCAUUUAAGUGAUCCCUUUACUUUUUCUAUUUCAUUACACUUGUAUACAUAAUUUCCUUUAUUUUGAUGAUUGUGACAAUAUUUUAAUACAACAAUGACAGUAUAUAUAUAACAAUGACAAUACUUAUAUUACCGAUGACAGUAUAUAACAAGUUAGCAACACUAUUUAAGUGUGGGCCAUCUUUUCAACUUUUUUUUUUUUAAGGGUGGGUAUGGAUUUUUUUUGUCGCUGGUGGACAGCGAUGUAGCCAACCUCCUAAUCUGAAUCCGAACGAAUACGGACCAUUUGGACAAGGCAGGGAUAUUACAAACGUGUCCACAUUUUCAUCACCGGACAAGAGUGAUGGCUACGUUGUUGUUGGAUUUUUCGGAAGGAGCAACAACUAUCUCGAGUCUGUUGGAGUAUCCAUCCAAAAGAUACAGGGAUAAAAAUGAAGAAAUGCAAUGUAUGGUGAUAAGGUGCUCCCAUCUUGAUUGUUGACACACCUCCAAUAUAAUUUACGUAUUUUCGAAUAAGCCACCUCUAUAUUUAUACUAUAUAUUAAAAAGCGUUUCUACAAACGUUUACAUGCCACGUGACGCUCUCCCUCAAUCCACAAAUCCAUGCCAUAUAUCCACUUUCAUUAUAUAGCAUAAGAUUUGAACCUGCAACGUCCACUUUCAACACUAGACCAUUAACCAAUUGAGCUACAAUCUUUUAGAUGUUAUCUAUGCAAAAUUAAAAUUAAUAUAAUAUAGAAAAAAUAUCAUCUAGAAAAAUUAUGUUUUGAAAAAACACAAACAAAAUUUCAUUAAAAAAAUAUGAUAAUUACUGUUAGUCACGGAAUAAUCCGGGACAUCGCCCGGACCUAAGGCCCUGUUCGGCAAAAGUAGCGGUAGCGGGUAGCGGUUCAGUAGCGGGUAGCGGUCAAUAGUAACGGGUAGCGGUCAAUAGUAGCGGGUAACGGUUAGCUGUCAAAGGUAGCGGGUAACUGAUAUGAGUGUUCGGUAAAAGUAGCGGUUGAUAUUAUAAAAUAAAAUAAAAGGUGAAAUAUUAUUUAAAACUUUAUUAUAAAUUUGUCAAACGCUACCCGCUACCUUAAACGCUACUAAUUUUAACGUUUGAUAAAAGCUACUCAACCGCUACCUCUACCGCUAACCGCUACCUAAAUUGCUACCUCGCCAAACACUUACAAAUUUUACAAGUAGCGUCUUGACUCGGUCAAAACGCUACCCGCUACCUCAAAAGCUACCGCCGAACACGCCCUAAAUACUAGUUUGUUUUAUAAAUUACGAGUGGGUACGUGGCCUCUCAAGAAUGAUUGUAAUCAUAAACUUGAGUGAAUGUUGUAUUACUGUUGUUUUUGUUGUCUUUGUAAUUUUGUAUGAUGUCUGUUGGCUAAACUACAUCUUUAUAAGAACUUUUUUCGCCUUUUAAAUCUUGUCACUUUUCAUUUAUUCUUUUUUAACCCAUUCUUGCUCUUGAUAAAAUAAAUAAAGUGACCCGUCAAAAUAAAUAAAUAAAUAAAGUGACGGGGCGUAUUCGGCGGUAGCGUUUGAGGUAUGGGGUAUCGUUUUGACCUAGUCAAGACGCUACUUGUAAAAUUUGUAAGUAUUUGGUAAAGUAGCGAUUUAGGUAGCGGUUACCGGUUGAGGUAGCGGCUGUGUAGCUUUUGUCAAACGUUGAAAUUAGUAGGCGUUUAAGGUAGCGAGUAGCGUUUGACAAAUUUAUAAUAAAGUUUUAAAUAAUAUUAUUGCUUUUAUUUUUAUUUUAUAAUAUCAACCGUUACUUUUACCGAACACUCAUAUUAGUUACCCGCUAAUUUGACAGCUAACCGUUACCCGCUACCAUUCACCGCCACUCGCUACUUUAACCGCUACCCGCUACUCAACCGCUAACCGUUAUCCGCUACCGCUAAUUUUGCCGAACAGGGCCGUAAGCUAGUUAGCUACAUUAAAAUUGGUUGUAGCCACCGUAACUAUUUUAAUCUCAACCCUUUAAGGGAAAUUUUAGCCAUACAUUUUUUAUCGUUAAAGUUGAAAAAUAUAUGUAAAAGAUUUAUUUUAAUCAAAAUCGCCUUUUUUUUUGUCUUUUAUAAUUUUAAUUAUCAGUUAGGAAAUUAUUUGCUCAUUCAAUGCUUUUUUUAACUUCAAAACCAGUUAAACAAGGUGUAAUACAUCAGGUUUGCAUUCAAUAAACCUUUUGCCGACAAUCAUAUGUUAA